rnacentral:rRNA from 1 species
UUGUGAGGUUAAGCGACUAAGCGUACACGGUGGAUGCCCUGGCAGUCAGAGGCGAUGAAGGACGUGCUAAUCUGCGAUAAGCGUCGGUGAGGUGAUAUGAACCGUUAUAACCGGCGAUUUCCGAAUGGGGAAACCCAGUGUGUUUCGACACACUAUCAUUAACUGAAUCCAUAGGUUAAUGAGGCGAACCGGGGGAACUGAAACAUCUAAGUACCCCGAGGAAAAGAAAUCAACCGAGAUUCCCCCAGUAGCGGCGAGCGAACGGGGAGGAGCCCAGAGCCUGAAUCAGUGUGUGUGUUAGUGGAAGCGUCUGGAAAGGCGCGCGAUACAGGGUGACAGCCCCGUACACAAAAAUGCACAUAUUGUGAGCUCGAUGAGUAGGGCGGGACACGUGGUAUCCUGUCUGAAUAUGGGGGGACCAUCCUCCAAGGCUAAAUACUCCUGACUGACCGAUAGUGAACCAGUACCGUGAGGGAAAGGCGAAAAGAACCCCGGCGAGGGGAGUGAAAAAGAACCUGAAACCGUGUACGUACAAGCAGUGGGAGCCUCUUAAUGGGGUGACUGCGUACCUUUUGUAUAAUGGGUCAGCGACUUAUAUUCUGUAGCAAGGUUAACCGAAUAGGGGAGCCGAAGGGAAACCGAGUCUUAACUGGGCGUUAAGUUGCAGGGUAUAGACCCGAAACCCGGUGAUCUAGCCAUGGGCAGGUUGAAGGUUGGGUAACACUAACUGGAGGACCGAACCGACUAAUGUUGAAAAAUUAGCGGAUGACUUGUGGCUGGGGGUGAAAGGCCAAUCAAACCGGGAGAUAGCUGGUUCUCCCCGAAAGCUAUUUAGGUAGCGCCUCGUGAAUUCAUCUCCGGGGGUAGAGCACUGUUUCGGCAAGGGGGUCAUCCCGACUUACCAACCCGAUGCAAACUGCGAAUACCGGAGAAUGUUAUCACGGGAGACACACGGCGGGUGCUAACGUCCGUCGUGAAGAGGGAAACAACCCAGACCGCCAGCUAAGGUCCCAAAGUCAUGGUUAAGUGGGAAACGAUGUGGGAAGGCCCAGACAGCCAGGAUGUUGGCUUAGAAGCAGCCAUCAUUUAAAGAAAGCGUAAUAGCUCACUGGUCGAGUCGGCCUGCGCGGAAGAUGUAACGGGGCUAAACCAUGCACCGAAGCUGCGGCAGCGACACUAUGUGUUGUUGGGUAGGGGAGCGUUCUGUAAGCCUGUGAAGGUGGCCUGUGAGGGUUGCUGGAGGUAUCAGAAGUGCGAAUGCUGACAUAAGUAACGAUAAAGCGGGUGAAAAGCCCGCUCGCCGGAAGACCAAGGGUUCCUGUCCAACGUUAAUCGGGGCAGGGUGAGUCGACCCCUAAGGCGAGGCCGAAAGGCGUAGUCGAUGGGAAACAGGUUAAUAUUCCUGUACUUGGUGUUACUGCGAAGGGGGGACGGAGAAGGCUAUGUUGGCCGGGCGACGGUUGUCCCGGUUUAAGCGUGUAGGCUGGUUUUCCAGGCAAAUCCGGAAAACCAAGGCUGAGGCGUGAUGACGAGGCACUACGGUGCUGAAGCGACAAAUGCCCUGCUUCCAGGAAAAGCCUCUAAGCAUCAGGUAACAUCAAAUCGUACCCCAAACCGACACAGGUGGUCAGGUAGAGAAUACCAAGGCGCUUGAGAGAACUCGGGUGAAGGAACUAGGCAAAAUGGUGCCGUAACUU